AAUGACCAGUAUCAAGAUAAAUAUGCCAAUUACAAAAUUGAAAAGCUUAGAACAAAAUAAAAUAAUAUAAAAUCACAUACACAUAAAAAGUAGCUCUUGUUUGUCAUUUAUCUGUCAGAAAGGUGUUUAUUCUGAAACGGACACUUUAAUCAGCAGGUUUACGGAGACACUCAGAAAGGAGAUUCACUGGAGAAUAAAACCUUUUCUACCCAACGUUUUGAGAGCCAGAUAUAAGGUGCAGAAAAUGAGCUCUAAAUCACGAGAGAUUACAAGGUAGUGGAAUGAAAGAACAACAUCACUUGCUGUCAAAGUUGCAGAACAGUGAAUCACAGGAAGGAGCAAUGGAGAACUUCUGAAACUACAUCAAAAAUUCUUUCCAGUAGC